GGAGGGUAUAGCUCAACUGGUAGAGUGCAUGCUUUGCGUGCAUGAGGUCCUGGGUUCUAUUCCCAGUAUCUCCU